GGGUCAGUAGGUUGGUCGUGCCACCGGUACGUUCUGGUCUCACUGAUUCCUCCUUCCUGAAGAACCGUAAUGCCAUUAAUUUGGUGUUGCGGGGAAACAGGACUGUUACUUUGAAAAAAUUAGAGUGUUUACAGCAUGCUAACGCUUGAAUACAUUAGCAUGGAAUAAUGAAAUAGGACGAUCGAUCCUAUUUUGUUGGUUUCUAGGAUUGACGUA
rnacentral:rRNA from 1 species